rnacentral:rRNA from 1 species
GGUUCUCCCCGAAAUAGUUUUAGGACUAGCCUUGUGUAAUAGUAAACGGAGGUAGGGCGCUGGAUGGACUAGGGGCCUCACCAGGUUACCAAACCCAACCAAUCUUCGAAUUCCGUUUACCGUAUCACAGGAGUCAGACUGCGGGUGAUAAGGUCCGUAGUCGAGAGGGAAAGAGCCCAGACCACCAGCUAAGGUCCCUAAGAUAGACUAAGUGGGAAAGGUUGUAGGAAUACACAGACAAUCAGGAGGUUGGCUUAGAAGCAGCAAUCCUUUAAAGAAAGCGUAAUAGCUCACUGAUCAAGUGUACCUGCGCCGAAAAUUUAACGGGGCUUAAGUUUAGCACCGAAGCUGUGGAUUGGAGAUAACUUCGGUUAUCUCUUCUGGUAGGGGAGCGUUCCAUACUGGGCUGAAGCUCGACCGUAAGGACGGGUGGACUGUAUGGAAGUGAGUAUGGCGGCAUGAGUAACGAUAAAACAGGUGAGAAACCUGUUCGCCGAAAAUCCAAGGGUUCCUGAGGAAGGUUAAUCCUCUCAGGGUGAGUCGACCCCUAAGGCGAGGCCGAAAGGCGUAGCUGAUGGGAAACGGGUUAAUAUUCCCGUACCACUUGAAUCGCGUUUGUAGCGAUGGGGUAACGUAGAAGGGUAGUCUAUCCGGGUGUUGGACGUCCCGGUUUAAGCAUGUAGGAGGGUGGUCUUGGUAAAUCCGGACCACCAUUAACUUCGAGAUGUGAUAAGGAGCUUCUCCUUCGGGACAAGCGAACUAGAUGAUCCCAUGCUACCGAGAAAAACCUCUAGUGAGUUAUUCAGGUGAUCGUACCCUAAACCGACACGGGUGGAUGAGUAGAGAAUACUAAGGCGCUUGAGAGAACUCUGGUUAAGGAACUCGGCAAAUUAGCUCCGUAACUUCGGGAUAAGGAGUGCCCUCAUUAGGUGAAAGAACUUGCUUCUGGAGCCGAAGGGGGUUGCAGUGACCAGGUAGCCGCGACUGUUUACUAAAAACACAGGACUCUGCUAAGCCGCAAGGCGAUGUAUAGGGUCUGACGCCUGCCCGGUGCCGGAAGGUUAAAAGGAGGGGUUAGCUUUCGAGCGAAGCUCCGAAUUGAAGCCCCGGUAAACGGCGGCCGUAACUAUAACGGUCCUAAGGUAGCGAAAUUCCUUGUCGGGUAAGUUCCGACCUGCACGAAUGGCGUAACGAUGGCUACACUGUCUCAACCAGAGACUCAGUGAAAUUGACAUACCGGUGAAGAUGCCGGUUUCCCGCGAAAGGACGGAAAGACCCCGUGCACCUUUACUACAGCUUGAUAUUGGAUAUUGGUUUAGUAUGUGUAGGAUAGGUGGGAGACUUUGAAACUCUGGCGCUAGCCAGGGUGGAGUCAAUCUUGAAAUACCACCCUUAUUACACUGAUAUUCUAACCUCGGUUCCAUGAAUCCGGGCCAGGGACAAUGUCAGGUGGGUAGUUUGACUGGGGCGGUCGCCUCCUAAAAUGUAACGGAGGCGCGCGAAGGUUCCCUCA